GGCGGCUGGUUAUGAACUCCCGCGAAGUUUCCUCUCAUGAUCUUUUUUCCGAGGGAUGCUGGCUGCGAAUGGUGACUCCCCCCCCCCAAAGAAACAAAAGGAGCGCGUUUGUUCCCCCGUCGUCCGAAUAUAGUCACGGGGACUGCGUCCCUGUUAAUUAUUGCAUCGAGGAUGGCAGAAGGGCAACGGGAUCCGUGUGCGUCUUGACUUGGAAACCUCAAUUUCUAGGUCCUUAUCGGGACUGGAGCUCUGCUUUAUGCAUUCUGAUGGUUUACUCGAAAGCACACCCCCUUUUUUUUCUAACGAGGCUUAUGAGUGAGAGCAGACUGCACUGAACAGUUUGUGAUUUACUUUCAGACAAGCAGGACAUUAUUCCUGAGGCAAUAAUUUCAAGCUCUUCUAGAAGUACUGAGCAAACAUUUCGUGGAAUUUAUGUGCAGAAGUGUGUAAGGAGACGUGCUCGUGGGAGAAAAAAACAUUAGGAAAGGUGUCGUAUAAAGGAAUAUCCAGCAAAGAGCUGAUGUAAUUGCCAUGCUUGUUCAUUUAAUCACUGCUAGCCACCUUGAGCACCAUUGUUCCAGAGAAAAGCAGGACCUAAAUGCAAUCAAUCCAUUCGUCCGAGGGUCUUCAUUAACAUACAGAUCUGAGCAAUCUUUCUUUGGACAAUACAACAGCAUGUUGUUACCGUGAAAGGAGCUUGGACAUCCUUUUUGUUCAGUUUGCAAAGUGCUCAUUUGUGCCCCAGAAAUGAAAAUCUUUGGUUUGGGAUUAUUUUUAUCCUCUGCUCAGAAGAUGCCCAGA